rnacentral:ncRNA from 1 species
UGUGGGAGAGACCCCGACUCGAUCGGGGCGCCGAAGGAGCAACCGCCCCCGGAAACUCUCAGGCAGAAGGACCACCG